rnacentral:rRNA from 1 species
CAGUAGCCGCGGUAAUACAGAGGGUGCGAGCGUUAAUCGGAUUUACUGGGCGUAAAGCGUGCGUAGGCGGCUUUUUAAGUCGGAUGUGAAAUCCCUGAGCUUAACCUGGGAACUGCAUUCGAUACUGGAUAGCUAGAGAUCGGUAGAGGGCAGCGGAAUUCCGGGUGUAGCGGUGAAAUGCGUAGAUAUCCGGAGGAACACCGAUGGCGAAGGCAACUGCCUGGGCCUGAUCUGACACUGAGGCACGAAAGCGUGGGUAGCAAACAGGAUUAGAUACCCGCGUAGUCCCUGUCUCUUAUAC